GACGAACGCUGGCGGCGUGCUUAACACAUGCAAGUCGAACGGAAAGGCCCUGCUUGCAGGGUACUCGAGUGGCGAACGGGUGAGUAACACGUGGGUGAUCUGCCCUGCACUUCGGGAUAAGCCUGGGAAACUGGGUCUAAUACCGGAUAGGAGCCAUUUUUAGUGUGAUGGUUGGAAAGUUUUUUCGGUGUAGGAUGAGCUCGCGGCCUAUCAGCUUGUUGGCGGGGUAAUGGCCUACCAAGGCGGCGACGGGUAGCCGGCCUGAGAGGGUGGACGGCCACCUUGGGACUGAGAUACGGCCCAGACUCCUACGGGAGGCAGCAGUGGGGAAUAUUGCACAAUGGGCGCAAGCCUGAUGCAGCGACGCCGCGUGGGGGAUGACGGCCUUCGGGUUGUAAACUCCUUUCGCUAGGGACGAAGCUUUUUGUGACGGUACCUAGAUAAGAAGCACCGGCUAACUACGUG
rnacentral:rRNA from 1 species